CCUACGGGGGGCUGCAGUUGGGAAUCUUGCACAAUGGGGGAAACCCUGAUGCAGCGACGCCGCGUGGAGGACGACGGCCCUAGGGUUGUAAACUCCUUUUUUCGGGGAAGACUUAGGACGGUACCCGAAGAAUAAGCACCGGCUAACUACGUGCCAGCAGCCGCGGUAAGACGUAGGGUGCAAGCGUUGUCCGGAUUUACUGGGCGUAAAGCGCUCGUAGGCGGCUUGUCAAGUAUGAAGUGAAAUCUCCAGGGCUCAACCCGGAAACCGCUUCGUAGACUGGCAGGCUGGAGUGACACAGAGGUAGAUGGAAUUCCUGGUGUAGCGGUGAAAUGCGUUGAUAUCAGGAGGAACACCAGCGGCGAAGGCGGUCUACUGGGUGUCUACUGACGCUGAGGAGCGAAAGCGUGGGGAGCAAACAGGAUUAGAUACCCGAGUAGUC
rnacentral:rRNA from 1 species